UACGUAGGGGGCUAGCGUUGUCCGGAAUCAUUGGGCGUAAAGAGCGUGUAGGCGGUCCGGUAAGUCCGCUGUGAAAGUCGGGGGCUCAACCCUCGAAUGCCGGUGGAUACUGUCGGGCUAGAGUCCGGAAGAGGCGAGUGGAAUUCCCGGUGUAGCGGUGAAAUGCGCAGAUAUCGGGAGGAACACCAAUGGCGAAGGCAGCUCGCUGGGACGGUACUGACGCUGAGACGCGAAAGCGUGGGGAGCAAACAGG
rnacentral:rRNA from 1 species